rnacentral:rRNA from 1 species
CCGCACAAGCGGUCAAGCAUGUAUUAUAAUUUGAAGCUACGCGAAGAACCUUACCAGGUCUUGACAUACUAUGCAAAUGUAAGAGAUUAGACGUUCCCUUCGGGGACAUGGAUACAGGUGGUGCAUGGUUGUCGUCAGCUCGUGUCGUGAGAUGUUGGGUUAAGUCCCGCAACGAGCGCAACCCUUAUUAUCAGUUGCCAGCAUUAAGUUGGGCACUCUGGUGAGACUGCCGGUGACAAACCGGAGGAAGGUGGGGAUGACGUCAAAUCAUCAUGCCCCUUAUGACCUGGGCUACACACGUGCUACAAUGGAUGGUACAACGAGUUGCGAACUCGCGAGAGUAAGCUAAUCUCUUAAAGCCAUUCUCAGUUCGGAUUGUAGGCUGCAACUCGCCUACAUGAAGUCGGAAUCGCUAGUAAUCGCGGAUCAGCAUGCCGCGGUGAAUACGUUCCCGGGCCUUGUACACACCGCCCGUCACACCAUGAGAGUUUGUAACACCCAAAGUCGGUGGGGUAACCUUUUAGGAACCAGCCGCCUAAGGUGGGACAGAUGAUUAGGGUGAAGUCGUAACAAGGUAGCCGUAGAGAAGCUGCCC